rnacentral:rRNA from 1 species
UACGUAGGGUGCAAGCGUUAAUCGGAAUUACUGGGCGUAAAGCGUGCGCAGGCGGUUUUGUAAGUCUGUCGUGAAAGCCCCGGGCUCAACCUGGGAAUUGCGAUGGAGACUGCAAGGCUUGAAUCUGGCAGAGGGGGGUAGAAUUCCACGUGUAGCAGUGAAAUGCGUAGAGAUGUGGAGGAACACCGAUGGCGAAGGCAGCCCCCGGGGUGAAGAUUGACGCUCAUGCACGAAAGCGUGGGGAGCAAACAGG